rnacentral:rRNA from 2 species
CCUGCGGAAGGAUCAUUACCGAGUGUAGGGUUCCUAGCGAGCCCAACCUCCCACCCGUGUUUACUGUACCUUAGUUGCUUCGGCGGGCCCGCCAUUCAUGGCCGCCGGGGGCUCUCAGCCCCGGGCCCGCGCCCGCCGGAGACACCACGAACUCUGUCUGAUCUAGUGAAGUCUGAGUUGAUUGUAUCGCAAUCAGUUAAAACUUUCAACAAUGGAUCUCUUGGUUCCGGCAUCGAUGAAGAACGCAGCGAAAUGCGAUAACUAGUGUGAAUUGCAGAAUUCCGUGAAUCAUCGAGUCUUUGAACGCACAUUGCGCCCCCUGGUAUUCCGGGGGGCAUGCCUGUCCGAGCGUCAUUGCUGCCCAUCAAGCACGGCUUGUGUGUUGGGUCGUCGUCCCCUCUCCGGGGGGGACGGGCCCCAAAGGCAGCGGCGGCACCGCGUCCGAUCCUCGAGCGUAUGGGGCUUUGUCACCCGCUCUGUAGGCCCGGCCGGCGCUUGCCGAACGCAAAUCAAUCUUUUUCCAGGUUGACCUCGGAUCAGGUAGGGAUACCCGCUGAACUUAAGCAUAUCAAUAAGCGGAGGAA